rnacentral:rRNA from 1 species
CGUAGCCGCGGGAAUACGUAGGUGGCAAGCGUUGUCCGGAAUUAUUGGGCGUAAAGCGCGCGCAGGUGGUUUAAUAAGUCUGAUGUGAAAGCCCACGGCUCAACCGUGGAGGGUCAUUGGAAACUGUUAAACUUGAGUGCAGGAGAGAAAAGUGGAAUUCCUAGUGUAGCGGUGAAAUGCGUAGAGAUUAGGAGGAACACCAGUGGCGAAGGCGGCUUUUUGGCCUGUAACUGACACUGAGGCGCGAAAGCGUGGGGAGCAAACAGGAUUAGAUACCCCUGUAGUCCCUGUCUCUUAUACC